UACGUAGGGUGCAAGCGUUGUCCGGAAUUAUUGGGCGUAAAGAGCUCGUAGGCGGUCUGUCGCGUCGGCUGUGAAAACUCGGGGCUCAACCCCGAGCCUGCAGUCGAUACGGGCAGACUAGAGUGCUGUAGGGGAGACUGGAAGUUCCUGGUGUAGCGGUGAAAUGCGCAAGAUAUCAGGAGGAACACCAAUAGCGAAGGCAGCUCGCUGGGACGUUACUGACACUGAGGCGCGAAAGCGUGGGGAGCGAACAGG
rnacentral:rRNA from 1 species